rnacentral:rRNA from 1 species
AUUGAACGCUGGCGGAAUGCUUUACACAUGCAAGUCGAACGGCAGCACGGGGGCAGCCCUGGUGGCGAGUGGUGAACGGGUGAGUAAUACAUCGGAACGUGCCCGGUCGUGGGGGAUAACGUAGCGAAAGUUACGCUAAUACCGCAUACGAUCUGAGGAUGAAAGCGGGGGACCUUCGGGCCUCGCGCGAUCGGAGCGGCCGAUGUCAGAUUAGGUAGUUGGUGGGGUAAAGGCCUACCAAGCCGACGAUCUGUAGCUGGUCUGAGAGGACGACCAGCCACACUGGGACUGAGACACGGCCCAGACUCCUACGGGAGGCAGCAGUGGGGAAUUUUGGACAAUGGGCGCAAGCCUGAUCCAGCCAUUCCGCGUGCAGGACGAAGGCCUUCGGGUUGUAAACUGCUUUUGUACGGAACGAAAAGGCUCUGGCUAAUACCUGGGGCUCAUGACGGUACCGUAAGAAUAAGCACCGGCUAACUACGUG